rnacentral:rRNA from 1 species
UACGUAGGGGGCAAGCGUUGUCCGGAUUUAUUGGGCGUAAAGAGCGUGUAGGCGGCCUGGAAGGUCGGCUGUGAAAACUCGAGGCUCAACCUCGAGACGUCGGUUGAAACCACUUGGCUAGAGUCCGGAAGAGGAGUGUGGAAUUCCCGGUGUAGCGGUGAAAUGCGCAGAUAUCGGGAAGAACACCCGUGGCGAAGGCGGCACUCUGGGACGGUACUGACGCUGAGACGCGAAAGCGUGGGGAGCGAACAGG